UACGGAGGAUGCGAACGUUAUCCGGAUUUAUUGGGUUUAAAGGGUGCGUAGGCGGAUCGUUAAGUCAGUGGUCAAAUUGAGGGGCUCAACCCCUUCCCGCCAUUGAAACUGGCGAUCUUGAGUGGAAGAGAAGUAUGCGGAAUGCGUGGUGUAGCGGUGAAAUGCAUAGAUAUCACGCAGAACCCCGAUUGCGAAGGCAGCACGCCGGCUUCCUACUGACGCUGAAGCACGAAAGCGUGGGGAUCGAACAGG
rnacentral:rRNA from 1 species